CUGAGUGAGGGCCUCGGGCUCGACCUCCAACCCUUUGUGAACACCAACUUGUUGCUUCGGGGGCGACCCUGCCGUUUCGACGGCGAGCGCCCCCGGAGGAUCAUCAACACUGCAUCUUUGCGUCGGAGUUUAAGGAAAUGAAACA
rnacentral:misc_RNA from 1 species